AUGCAGCUCAAGACACUCUCAGAGGCCAUGUACCGAGGAUAUGGUGCGUUGGACAACUCCAGGUACCGUGCCCUCCAAGACAGUGUUGGCUUCGACGAGGUUAGCAUCAAUGACUCAUCUAGAAGCAGAUUAUAUUUAGCCAAGCGCUCUCGAACAACAAAUGAUAAGGCCACACGCCUCGAGUCACAUGAUGCCUUGGAAAGUUUAGAAAUUGCUAUUGCUAAAAUGGCAGAAUUUAUUGUUCUUCUCAGUGGAUGCGAGUGCAUGUCUCGUAGGCCAUAUGAUGUUUAUCUUCACACCGACAACUUCAUGUUCGGCCGACACAAUGAGAAGCAAAAGAUCUUGAGCUUCUUGUAG
rnacentral:rRNA from 1 species